GCUUCGUGGUCAAAUGGUAAGGGCACUUGCCUCUCACCCUGGAGUUCCGGGUUCGAUUCCCGGUCGAGAAGCU
rnacentral:tRNA from 1 species